GUUUUUUUGAAAUUAAUUUAAAGUUUAACCUGCCCAUUGAAUAAAUUUAAAAGGCUGCGGUAUUUUGACCGUACAAAGGUAGCAUAAUCAUUAGUUUUUUAAUUGGAAACUAGAAUGAAUGGUUGAAUGAAAUAUUAGCUUUUUUAAUUAAAUAUAUAAAAUUUUACUUUUAAGUCAAAAGGCUGAAAUAAAUUUAAAAGACGAGAAGACCCUAUAGAGUUUUAUAAUAAUUUUUGUAUUUUAUAUAAAGUUGAUUAAUUGUUAUACAAUAUUUAUUAUUUUGUUGGGGUGAUAAUAAAAUUCAAAUAACUUUUAUUUUUUUUUUACAUUAAUAAAUGAAUAAUUGAUCCAUUUUUAAUGAUUAAAAAUUUAAAUUACCUUAGGGAUAACAGCGUAAUUUUUUUUUAAGUUCUUAUUAAUAAAAAAUUUUGCGACCUCGAUGUUGGAUUAAGAGUUAAUUUUAGGUGCAGCAGUUUAAAAUUUAAGUCUGUUCAACUUUUAAAUUCUU
rnacentral:rRNA from 1 species